rnacentral:rRNA from 1 species
UACGGAGGGUGCUAGCGUUGUUCGGAAUUACUGGGCGUAAAGCGCAUGUAGGCGGCUUUGUAAGUUAGAGGUGAAAGCCCAGGGCUUAACCCUGGAAUUGCCUUUAAGACUGCAUCGCUAGAAUCGUGGAGAGGUGAGUGGAAUUCCGAGUGUAGAGGUGAAAUUCGUAGAUAUUCGGAAGAACACCAGUGGCGAAGGCGACUCGCUGGACACGUAUUGACGCUGAGGUGCGAAAGCGUGGGGAGCAAACAGG